rnacentral:rRNA from 1 species
UAGAUACCCUGGUAGUCCACGCCGUAAACGAUGAGCACUAGGUGUCGGUAUCGUAAGAUAUCGGUGCCGAAGUUAACGCAUUAAGUGCUCCGCCUGGGGAGUACGCACGCAAGUGUGAAACUCAAAGGAAUUGACGGGGACCCGCACAAGCAGCGGAGCAUGUGGUUUAAUUCGAAGCAACGCGAAGAACCUUACCAGGACUUGACAUCCCUCUGAAAUCCCGAGUAAAGUUGGGAGUUCUACGGACAGA